UGGGGAAUAUUGCACAAUGGGCGCAAGCCUGAUGCAGCGACGCCGCGUGGGGGAUGACGGCCUUCGGGUUGUAAACCUCUUUCACCAUCGACGAAGCCUUUUGGGGUGACGGUAGGUGGAGAAGAAGCACCGGCCAACUACGUGCCAGCAGCCGCGGUAAUACGUAGGGUGCGAGCGUUGUCCGGAAUUACUGGGCGUAAAGAGCUCGUAGGUGGUUUGUCGCGUUGUUCGUGAAAUGCCACAGCUUAACUGUGGGCGUGCGGGCGAUACGGGCAGACUGGAGUACUGCAGGGGAGACUGGAAUUCCUGGUGUAGCGGUGGAAUGCGCAGAUAUCAGGAGGAACACCGGUGGCGAAGGCGGGUCUCUGGGCAGUAACUGACGCUGAGGAGCGAAAGCGUGGGGAGCGAACAGGAUUAGAUACCC
rnacentral:rRNA from 1 species